rnacentral:rRNA from 1 species
AUGAGGUUGGGGCCUUCCACGCAGACGCCGACGAGCGGCACGAUGCGGCCGUGCUGCAGCUUGGUGAUGAUGUCCACCUCCCGGAGGAAGUCCUUGGACGCCUCCGCCGACGCCCGGCACAGCUUGAUCGCCACCCGCUGCCCGCUCGCCAGCCCGCCCCGGUACACCCGGCUGUGCGCGCCCUUGCCCACCAGGUUGCCGGGGGAGAAGUGGUUCGUGGCGUCGUACAGCUCCUCGUACCGGAACCACCGGCACCGGGACGGCGCGCCGGCGAGCGCCCGCCUCAGCUCGGCCGCCAGCCCCUCCUGCGCCGGUUCCGGGGACGCCGACGGCGAGGAGCGCCGCGGCAGGCUCAUCACCCAGUGCACCACCGACUGCUUGCGCGUCGUCUCGUGGUCUCUCGUCGUGGCCUGCGCUGCGGGAGGCGCGCGCCGGAGCAAAGGCCAGCCGAGCUUCUGCUCUGGCGCCGGCACGCGCACGACGAGGGCCUUGGCGUCGGCGGCGUCGUGGUCGUCGCAGGGCUUCUUGGGCUGCGGCGGCGCGGCGCACUGGCCGCAGCCCGUGGCGUCGAAGUCCAUGGACCGCGCGCUCCGGCGGUUGGGGUUGGGGAUGAUCACCUUGGGCUCCAUGCCGACGCUGGGGUGCAGCAGCGUGCGGAGCACCGGCUUGGGCUCUGCUCCUGCAGGACGACGAACGAAGCCACCCAACGCUUUAAUCCGUCAAUCAAUCACCCACUCACCAACCGAAAUCAAUUCGCAGCUAACAUCGGGAGUCAGUACUCUACUGACCAAGUGGCGGCCGGGGGGCCUCCCUGACGAAGAUGGCCUUGCCGCCCUGGAUGGCGACGACGCUGGUCGUCGCCGGGAGCUUCCUGGCGCAGUACUUGGCGAGGCCGGUCGAGCCACUGAUCGAGCACACAGGUAA